rnacentral:rRNA from 1 species
CAGGAUGAACGCUAGCGACAGGCUUAACACAUGCAAGUCGAGGGCAGCAUAGAAGUAGCAAUACUCGGUGGCGACCGGCGCACGGGUGAGUAACGCGUAUGCAACCUACCUAUCAGAGGGGAAUAGCCCGGCGAAAGUCGGACUAAUACCGCAUAAAACAGGGGCACCGCAUGGUGAUAUUUGUUAAAGAAAUUCGCUGAUAGAUGGGCAUGUGUUCCAUUAGGUAGUUGGUGAGGUAACGGCUCACCAAGCCGACGAUGGAUAGGGGAACUGAGAGGUUGGUCCCCCACACUGGUACUGAGACACGGACCAGACUCCUACGGGAGGCAGCAGUGAGGAAUAUUGGUCAAUGGGCGGGAGCCUGAACCAGCCAAGUCGCGUGAAGGAAGAAGGAUCUAUGGUUCGUAAACUUCUUUUGCAGGGGAAUAAAGUGCAGGACGUGUCCUGUUUUGUAUGUACCCUGAGAAUAAGGAUCGGCUAACUCCGUGCCAGCCGCCGC